UCAUUAUGGACGAUAACGUUGAAAGGACUGAUAUAAGAUAAUGAAUUUUUGAAAGCAUUUCGUUCGAACAAAGAGUUUCUUCGCUGAAUCAGCAUUUCGCUUAAAAUUUAAAACUAUCUUUCGCUAGUUUAAAUGGAGUUUACAGUUAAAUUCCUUUUAAUAUUCUUAGCCACUGCACCGGCGAGAACACUUGCCAAACACAAUACUCAGUUUGGGUCCCCCGGGAUACGGAGAAAUAUUCUGCUUGGAAUUCAGAACGUAAACUAUCCAUAUUUAAAGAUACUUUUAAUUACGCUCGCACCGCAGGCAAACUAUGCACCACUCCACAGAAGUAGAAAAACGACACACACCAACGUAGAGAUCGGUCCGGGCUCCUUCAAGCAAAGGCAGACUAACGAACGACUGCCAGAGGAAUAUUUAGUAAUGCAGUUCAAAAAACUAUUUGCUAAGAAAAAGAAAAUGGAAAAUAAUAAUUGAAAAACCAAAAAGCUGUUUUGUAACUCAAAUAAAACUUUACAUAAUUUCGAAAGAGAGAAUCAUAAUGACAGGUCGAGAUAUAGCGAAGUAUAGGAUAGAAG